AGAGAUGGGUGCGGGAGUGUGGAGCAGAGCCGGGCUCCCAGGCGGUGGCCCUGGUGGAAGGCUUCCUCCUGAGCCAGGCAGAGGAGCAGAAGCAGCAGGUUGAGUUGCAGGGAAGACGCGAACGAAGUUGUCUGCUCUUUGUGGUGCAGCUGAAACAGUGGCUGAACCUCCAGCUCAGGAGGGUCUUGUCUCCUUCGAGGAGGUGGCUGUGUAUUUCUCCGAGGAGGAGCGGUCUCUGCUGGAUCCUCACCAAAAAGUGCUGCAUUGGGAAGUCAUGCUGGAAAAUUAUAGGAACGUGGCCUCUCUGGGUAUCAGUAAGAAACUCAUUCCUUGGCUUGAGGAGAUGCUCAGCUCCAUCACACUGAUUUCAUCCUUUCGGGCCCAGAUGCUUCCCUGUCUGUCCUCUGAAGGAUUCUCAUUUCUUCAGGCUGUUGGGUUAAUGACUUGUCUUCCUUUUGAUUUCUAUCCUGAGCCUUGGGGUUAAGGGAAAAUGGUGCUGUUUUUCCAUUGCAAACAUGCUGUUUAGGGUUAAUAGAAGAGCUAUAGAAUUGUUUUCUCUGCAACCAUUUGAUUUUGGCCAGAGAAAAAUGAAUAGCAA